rnacentral:rRNA from 1 species
UACGUAGGGUGCGAGCGUUAAUCGGAAUUACUGGGCGUAAAGCGUGCGCAGGCGGUUUUGUAAGCCAGAUGUGAAAUCCCCGGGCUUAACCUGGGAAUGGCAUUUGGGACUGCAAGGCUCGAGUGCGGCAGAGGAGACUGGAAUUCCUGGUGUAGCAGUGAAAUGCGUAGAUAUCAGGAGGAACACCGAUGGCGAAGGCAGGUCUCUGGGCUGAAACUGACGCUCAUGCACGAAAGCGUGGGGAGCAAACAGG